ACGCAUGAUUAUGACGUGAAGAUGCGCAGCGUGCACAAGUUCCUCGAAGAGGGGGACAAGGUGAAGGUGACGCUGCGGUUCCGCGGUCGCGAAAUGGCGCAUAUCGAGAUCGGUCGGAGCCUGCUCGAGCGCAUCUCCGCCGAUGUCGACGCGCUCGGCAAGGUUGAGUCCAUGCCGAAGAUGGAAGGCCGCCAGAUGAUCAUGGUGGUGGCGCCGCGCAGCUAGGCGCAGCGCCGAACGGCGCCGGGGGGCUGACCCCGGCGCAACUCUUCACAUCGUCGAGGCGGCUGGCGGAACCUGGCCGA
rnacentral:misc_RNA from 1 species